GUUUCAGCAGCCGCGGUAAAACGUAGGAGACAAACGUUAUCCGGAGUUACUGGGCGUAAAGGGCGUGCAGGUGGUUCGUUAAGUCUGGCGUGAAAGCCUCCGGCUCAACCGGGGAAAGUCGUCGGAGACUGACGAACUAGAGGGCAGUAGAGGCGUGUGGAAUUCCGGGUGUAGUGGUGAAAUGCGUAGAGAUCCGGAGGAACACCAGUGGCGAAGGCGACACGCUGGGCUGCACCUGACACUGAGACGCGACAGCAUGGGGAGCGAACGGGAUUAGAUACCCUGGUAGUCC
rnacentral:rRNA from 1 species